GACGAACGCUGGCGGCGUGCUUAACACAUGCAAGUCGAACGGAAAGGCCCUGCUUGCAGGGUACUCGAGUGGCGAACGGGUGAGUAACACGUGGGUGAUCUGCCCUGCACUUCGGGAUAAGCUUGGGAAACUGGGUCUAAUACCGGAUAGGAACCAUCUUUAGUGUGGUGGUUGGAAAGUUUUUUCGGUGUAGGAUGAGCUCGCGGCCUAUCAGCUUGUUGGUGGGGUAAUGGCCUACCAAGGCGGCGACGGGUAGCCGGCCUGAGAGGGUGUACGGCCACAUUGGGACUGAGAUACGGCCCAGACUCCUACGGGAGGCAGCAGUGGGGAAUAUUGAACAAUGGGCGCAAGCCUGAUGCAGCGACGCCGCGGGGGGGAUGAAGGCCUUCGGGUUGUAAACUCCUUUCGCUAGGGACGAAGCUUUUUGUGACGGUACCUAGAUAAGAAGCACCGGCUAACUACGUG
rnacentral:rRNA from 1 species